rnacentral:misc_RNA from 1 species
CAGGCAUGAUGGUUGCUUCUAUCUAAGAAUUAUUGAUAACAAAUCAGUGUUCUGUUAUCAUUUAAUGUUGGAAAUGUCUUGUUCAUAAUCCAACCAACAUAAUAAUUUUUACGAACGUGCAAAGUAUUGAAAGGUUGACUGUGGCAAGCAACCAGGAUUCAGUGAGCUUAAAUUAAUAAGCCUACCUCCUCAUCUAUUCUCUUCCACGUUUUAGACAUGUCAAUCACUGAUUUGGAG